AUUGAACGCUGGCGGCAUGCCUUACACAUGCAAGUCGAACGGCAGCACGGGAGCAAUCCUGGUGGCGAGUGGCGAACGGGUGAGUAAAGUAUCGGAACGUGCCCAGUCGUGGGGGAUAACGUAGCGAAAGUUACGCUAAUACCGCAUACGAUCUAUAGAUGAAAGCGGGGGAUCGCAAGACCUCGCGCGAUUGGAGCGGCCGAUAUCAGAUUAGGUAGUUGGUGGGGUAAAGGCUCACCAAGCCGACGCUCUGUAGCUGGUCUGAGAGGACGACCAGCCACACUGGGACUGGGACACGGCCCAGACUCCUACGGGAGGCAGCAGUGGGGAAUUUUGGACAAUGGGCGAAAGCCUGAUCCAGCAAUGCCGCGUGCAGGAUGAAGGCCUUCGGGUUGUAAACUGCUUUUGUACGGAACGAAAAAGCUCCUUCUAAUACAGGGGGCCCAUGACGGUACCGUAAGAAUAAGCACCGGCUAACUACGUGCAGCAGCCGCAGUAA
rnacentral:rRNA from 1 species